rnacentral:rRNA from 1 species
GACGAACGCUGGCGGCGUGCCUAAUACAUGCAAGUAGAACGCUGAAGGAGGAGCUUGCUUCUCCGGAUGAGUUGCGAACGGGUGAGUAACGCGUAGGUAACCUGCCUGGUAGCGGGGGAUAACUAUUGGAAACGAUAGCUAAUACCGCAUAACAGUAGAUGUUGCAUGACAUUUGCUUAAAAGGUGCACUUGCAUCACUACCAGAUGGACCUGCGUUGUAUUAGCUAGUUGGUGAGGUAACGGCUCACCAAGGCGACGAUACAUAGCCGACCUGAGAGGGUGAUCGGCCACACUGGGACUGGGACACGGCCCAAGCUCCUACGGGAAGCAGCAGUAGGGAAUCUUCGGAAAUGGACGGAAGGCUGACCGAGCAACGCCGCGGGAGUUAAGAAGGGUUUCGGAUCGGAAAGCUCUGUUGUAAGAGAAGAACGAGUGUGAGAGUGGAAAGUUCACACUGUGACGGUAUCUUACCAGAAAGGGACGGCUAACUACGUG